rnacentral:rRNA from 1 species
AGACCNAGAUAGGGUUGAGUGUUGUNCCAGUUUGGAACAAGANUCCACUNUUAAAGAACGUGGANUCNAACGUCAAAGGGCGAAAAACNGUCUAUCAGGGCGAUGGCCCANUACGUGAACCAUCACCCUAAUCAAGUUUUUUGGGGUCGAGGUGCCGUAAAGCACUAAAUCGGAACCCUAAAGGGAGCCCCCCGAUUUAGAGCUUGACGGGGAAAGCCGGCGAACGUGGCGAGAAAGGAAGGGAAGAAAGCGAAAGGAGCGGGCGCUAGGGCGCUGGCAAGUGUAGCGGUCACGCUGCGCGUAACCACCACACCCGCCGCGCUUANUGCGCCGCUACAGGGCGCGUCCAUUCGCCAUUCAGGCUGCGCAACUGUUGGGAAGGGCGAUCGGUGCGGGCCUCUUCGCUAUUACGCCAGCUGGCGAAAGGGGGAUGUGCUGCAAGGCGAUUAAGUUGGGUAACGCCAGGGUUUUCCCAGUCACGACGUUGUAAAACGACGGCCAGUGAAUUGUAAUACGACUCACUAUAGGGCGAAUUGGGCCCGACGUCGCAUGCUCCCGGCCGCCAUGGCGGCCGCGGGAAUUCGAUUAGAGUUUGAUCCUGGCUCAGAUUGAACGCUGGCGGCGUGCUUAACACAUGCAAGUCGAACGUGAAAGUCCUUCGGGGCGAGUAAAGUGGCGCACGGGUGAGUAACGCGUGGAUAAUCUACCCUUAAGAUGGGGAUAACGGCUGGAAACGGUCGCUAAUACCGAAUACGCUCCCGAUUUUAUCGUUGGGGGGAAAGAUGGCCUCUGCUUGCAAGCUAUCGCUUAAGGAUGAGUCCGCGUCCCAUUAGCUAGUUGGCGGGGUAACGGCCCACCAAGGCGACGAUGGGUAGCCGGUCUGAGAGGAUGACCGGCCACACUGGAACUAAUCACUAGUGAAUUCGCGGCCGCCUGCAGGUCGACCAUANGGGAGAGCUCC